rnacentral:rRNA from 2 species
CUGGUGUCAGCCGCCGCGGUAAUACCAGCACCUCGAGUGGUCAGGACGUUUAUUGGGCCUAAAGCAUCCGUAGCCGGCUCUGCAAGUCUUCGGUUAAAUCCACCUGCUCAACAGAUGGGCUGCUGGAGAUACUACAGAGCUAGGGAGUGGGAGAGGCAGACGGUAUUCAGUGGGUAGGGGUAAAAUCCUCUGAUCCAUUGAGGACCACCAGUGGCGAAGGCGGUCUGCCAGAACACGUUCGACGGUGAGGGAUGAAAGCUGGGGGAGCAAACCGGAUUAGAUACCCGGGUAGUCCCAGCUGUAAACGAUGCAGACUCGGUGAUGGGUUGGCUUCGAGCCAACCCAGUGCCGCAGGGAAGCCGUUAAGUCUGCCGCCUGGGGAGUACGGUCGCAAGACUGAAACUUAAAG